AGGGAGUGGUGAAGGAUGAGGAGGGCUAUGGAAUAAAGGGAGCGUCCAUAUCUGUCAGGGGAAUACGUAAAGAUGUCACCACAGCGGAGGAUGGUGAUUACUGGAGGUUAAUGAACUCAGGAACACACAUCAUAACAGCAUCAGCUAAAGGUUACUCCAAGGUCAGCAAGAGAAUUUACCUGCCUGCUCACCUGGAAAAAGCUGGGCGGGUCGACUUCCUGCUCAAAAAGGUCCCUGUACAGCCAGUACGACCAGACUACCACCUGUUCCUCAGCUCCUCCCUGGACACUUACGAGCGCUCG